rnacentral:rRNA from 1 species
UGAUCCUGCCAGUAUUAUAUGCUGAUGUUAAAGAUUAAGCCAUGCAUGUGUAAGUUUAAAGACCAAGUAGGAUGAAACUGCGGACGGCUCAUUAUAACAGUAAUAGUUUCUUUGGUUAGUAUUUACAAGGAUAACUUUGUGAAUGAUAAAGCUAAUACUUGAGACGAUCCGGGAAGUAUUUAUACUUUUCGGCCCCCGGUUGCAAGAUUGGGGAGAAACGACAUUCUCUUGUGAAAAAGGAUGCCGCGACAAUUGAGGAAAGCGACGCUUUUAACAAGUAACCAAUGGGAAUUUCUGAUCUAUCAAUUUGUUGGUAGUAUCGAGGACUACCAAGAUUAUAACGGAUAACGAGGAAUUGGGGUUCGACAUCGGAGAGGGAGCUUUACAGAUGGCUACCACUUCUAAGGAAGGCAGCAGGCGCGUAAAUUACCCACUUUCGACUCGAAGAGGUAGUGACGACAAAUAACUCUUGGCACCCCUCGGGGUGACUUGAAGGAAUGAUUUAGAAGUAAAUUCUCUAAAGAAAUCAAUUGGAGGGCAAGUCUGGUGCCAGCAGCCGCGGUAAUUCCAGCUCCCAAUAG